CGUUGCGUCACGAAACGUGGCAGUACCGAACUAUCGGUUCUCGUGACAUCCUGAGUUGUAAGGUUGUUGUAAUAUGGCGUUGUAACAUUGUGUUGUAAUGUUGUGUUGUAUUGUUGUGGUGUAACAUUCGAUUGUAAUGUUGUAGUCUGGUGUUGUAACAUUGUGUUGUAAUGUUGUGUUGUACUGUUGUGGUGUAACGUUGUGUUGUAACAUUGUGUUGUAAUGUUGUGUUGUAAUGUUGUGGUGUAAUGAUGUGUUGUAAUGUUGUGGUGUAAUGAUGUGUUGUAAUGUUGUGUUGUAAUGUUGUGUUAUGUUGUGGUGUAACGUUGUGUUGUAACAUUGUGUUGUAAUGUUGUGUUGUAAUGUUGUGGUGUAAUGAUGUGUUGUUAUGUUGUGGUGUAACGUUGUGUUGUAACAUUGUGUUGUAAUGUUGUGUUGUAAUGUUGUGGUGUAAUGUUGUGGUGUAACAUUGUGUUGUAACAUUGUGUUGUAAUGUUGUGUUGUAAUGUUGUGGUGUAAUGAUGUGUUGUAAUGUUGUGGUGUAAUGAUGUGUUGUAAUGUUGUGGUGUAACGUUGUGUUGUAAUGUUGUGGUGUAACGUUGUGUUGUAAUGUUGUGGUGUUUAACAGUUGAGGUUCCCUGUGUAACAGAUUAGUGCAUUGCAUUAAUCUCACUUCAGCCGAUUUUAGGAAGUUUGUUCUGUAAAACAGGAAGUAGGUCAGAAAGCAGAUGACCUGAAUUAGUUAUUUUAGGAGUGUUUUUUUUUUAGACUGACACAGCUCUGAAUGUGUGUAUGUGUGUGUUUUUUAGACAUGUUGAGGUCUGAGCUGCAGUAACAGAAGCAUCAUGGAACCUGGAACUGACACACAGGGAGAUGCGGACAAAACUUUGAUAAGGAGGAAAUAUGCCAGUGCCAUGCAGGAAGUCACUUCCUGUGGUGGGCAGGGCUAAGUGGAAGAACUAAGUGAGUGAUGAAACAACAGUAUAACAAAACUUUAUGUGUGUGUGUGUCUGUGUGUGUAUGUGUGUGUGAAUAUAUAUCACUAUAUAUACACCUAUCAGCCAUAACAUUAAAACCACCUGCCUAAUAUUGUGUAGGUCGCCCUUGUGCCUACAAAACAGCUCUGAGGCAUCGAGGCAUGGACUCCACAAGACCCCUGAAGGUUUGCUGUGGUAUCUGACACCAAGACAUCAGCAGUAGUCCUUUUAGUCCUGUAAGUUGUGAGGUGGGGCAUCCGUGGAUCGGACUUUUUUGUCCAGAACGUCCCACAGACACUGGAUCGGAUUGAGAUCUGGGGAAUUUGGAGGCUGAGUCAACACUGUGAACUCUUUGUCAUGUUCCUCAAACCGUCUGCAGCGUGUCAGGGAGCAUUAUCCUGCGGAAAGAGACCGCUGGCCACCAUUAGGGAACAACGUUACCUUGAAGGUGUGUACUCAGUCUGCAGCAAUGUUUAGGUAGGUGGUACAUGUCAAAGUAACAUCCACAUGAAUCCACACAUCAGUGAGUCUUGGGAGCCCAUGACCCUGUCUCCGGUUCACCGGUUGUUCUUCCCUGGACCACUUUUGGUAGGUUCUAACCACCGCAUACCGGGAACACCCCACAAAACCUGCUUUUUUGGAGAUGCUCUGACCCAGUCGUCUAGACAUCACAAUUUGGUCCGUGUCAAAGUCACUCAGAUCCAACGUGUUAACUUCAAGAACUGACUGUUCACUUGCUGCCUAAUAAAUAAAUCCCCCGCUGACAGCUGCCCCUGUAACAAGAUAAUGUUAUUCAACUCACCUGUCAAUGGUUUUAAUGUUAUGGCUGAUCAGUGUGUGUUUGUGUGUGUGUGUGUAUGUGUGUGUGUGUAUAAUUUUUUUCCAAAAGUAAACCAACAUUCAGAUGGGUACACCCUUCUCACUUCCACAAGUGUUAAGUUAAGAGCAUGUUUAGCAGCCAGGUGUUAUUCAUAAAAUGCACAAGGUUAGUUAAUGAUCAAGAGGUGUGACUGCUUCAAUAAAAGCAGACCUUUUGGCAGUUUGUUAUUCUGGAGCACUCAGGUGUGUGUGGCUACAUCAUGCCAGGAAGUAAGGUCAGAAGCCAUGACCUCAGAUAAGUCAUUGUUUCUGCUCAUUGAUCUGGGAAGUUAUAAGGCCAUUUCCAAACACUUUGAAAAAG
ensembl:lncRNA